GGAAAUCCAUUUGUUAAGGAAAAAGACACGUGACACUUUUUUAAGAAAAAGAUGAAUACUCUCAUUGGGCUCACUAAUAAAUUGGCUAAAAAACAGAAAAAGAGAUGAGGGGGAAUCUUCUUCCCUAAAAAUGGCCCUCACCCCAUUUCUUCCUCCGUCCACACCGUCAACAUCACCUUCUUCGUCUGUUUCCACCCUUUCAACCACAAACCACCGCGGUAAACACCUUUGAAACAUCACCCACAUAAUAGUCACUACCAUGACAAAACCUUCAUUUUAUGAACUGCUUCCAUCAAGCCUUGGUUCCACCAUAACGUACAACUCGUGUACCACCCCCUUUUAACAUGUUUUAACAACACAACCAUCUCCUCUCUAAUUAAUCACCUCAAAUCUCUUACAAACCUUCCAUACCAACUGUUCAUAUUUUCCUAGCACUCACACAAAAAUGAAAAUGAACUUCCAAUCAAAACCACAACACCGAACAUCUUAUACAAAUCGCCACCACCACUAAACUGUUUAAAUAAACCGUCAACACCGUCGCAUCAGCCAAGUAACACACACACCACCUUAUAGUAACAUCUCGUAGCCACUUCCGCCCGUAAAAAAUUUGUUCAACAACAUCCCAACAACUCAAAGUUUUAACUAUUCUGAUUCAGUAGCAACUCGCACUUCCGGUAACGCUUCGGUUCAACUUUGCAUAUUAUAUUCUUCUUGUACAUAUUGUUGUUACAUUUUCAUAAUGGUAUUUAGAGUGGAAGAAUUUUUGUCAUUCAUGUUGUCUUUUAAAUGUUUGAAUUUCUUUAGCAGUAGUGGCAAUUCGGUGAAGUUAAAGAAUAGCGGCAGUUUGGAAAUUUGGUGAUGAUGAACAACAAUAUUUUCUUACUGAGGGUUUACAUUUUUUCAGGAUGAAUAGUUGUUUUCUUUUAAGACAUGUUUUCUUAGAACAGACAUUUGUAUUUUGCAAAUAACUUUUAUACUUUAAUAGUCAUCUAUGUUAAUAGUCAUAUAGGAUAGCAUUUGUAAUAUUCAUUGUUUUUCAAACACAUGAUAUUUGCAAUAUUGGUAGUUUGGAAUGAGUUAAAUUUGCUUUGCAUUGAUAGGUUUCAAUACUGUAACUUUAUAAUUUUAACUUAUAUCUUGUUACUUUAUUUGACUUAUUAAAAAAGAGGAAAAUGAUUUUGAUGUUUUGGGCUUAAUUUUGACCUUUGAUUCAAGCCUAUCUAGCUCUUGUUAUUAACACCCAUUUUAGAUUUUAUAUGUUUUAUAGGUUGCGUUAAGUUGCACUUUUUUAAUUUUUGAUUACGAUGAAUGAGAUACUUUUGGUGAUAUUUCUCUAAUGGUAAUAGUUUAUGUUGUUGCCGUUUAAUUUUUCAUUGUAUUUUUAAAUCGGAUAUUUAUCCACGGAUUUGGCAAUUUUAUGCCGAUAUGUCGCCAAAUUUCAAUAAAUUGAGAGAACAUCUUCACCGCAUUGUGAUCUCACGAAUGAUAUAAAUCAUGUUGUCAUUUCGUACAAACCGGUUUUUG
rnacentral:lncRNA from 1 species